GACGAACGCUGGCGGCGUGCUUAACACAUGCAAGUCGAACGGAGCGAAUGAAAGCUUGCUUUUAUAAGCUUAGUGGCAAACGGGUGAGUAACACGUAGACAACCUGCCGACAGGAUGGGGACAACAUUCCGAAAGGAAUGCUAAUACCGAAUGAAGUGCAGGGGAGGCAUCUCCCCUGCAUGAAAGAUGGCCUCUUUUUAUGCUAUCACCUGUUGAUGGGUCUGCGUCUGAUUAGCUGGUAGGUGAGGUAACGGCUCACCUAGGCGACGAUCAGUAGCCGGUCUGAGAGGAUGAACGGCCACAUUGGGACUGAGACACGGCCCAGACUCCUACGGGAGGCAGCAGUGGGGAAUCUUCCGCAAUGGGCGCAAGCCUGACGGAGCAACGCCGCGUGAGUGAAGAAGGUCUUCGGAUCGUAAAGCUCUGUUGAUGGGGACGAACGUGCCUAAUGCGAAUAGUAUUAGGUAAUGACGGUACCCAUCGAGGAAGCCACGGCUAACUAUCC
rnacentral:rRNA from 1 species